rnacentral:rRNA from 1 species
AGAGUUUGAUCCUGGCUCAGGAUGAACGCUGGCGGCGUUGCUUAAUACAUGCAAGUCGAACGGAAGUAAUUGGGAGCUUGCUUUUGAUUACUUUAGUGGCGGACGGGUGAGUAACGCGUGGGUAACCUGCCUCAUACAGGGGGAUAACAGUUAGAAAUGACUGCUAAAACCGCAUAACAUAGCGAAACCGCAUGAUAUCGCUAUCAAAUAUUUAUAGGUAUGAGAUGGGCCCGCGUCUGAUUAGCUAGUUGGCGGGGCAAUGGCCCACCAAGGCGACGAUCAGUAGCCGUACUGAGAGGUAGAACGGCCACAUUGGGACUGAGACACGGCCCAAACUCCUACGGGAGGCAGCAGUAGGGAAUAUUGGACAAUGGGGGAACCCUGAUCCAGCGACGCCGCGUGAGUGAAGAAGUUAUUCGUAAUGUAAAGCUCUAUCAGCAGGGACGAUAAUGACGGUACCUGACUAAGAAGCACCGGCUAAAUACGUGCC